rnacentral:rRNA from 1 species
UGGGGAAUAUUGCACAAUGGGGGAAACCCUGAUGCAGCGACGCCGCGUGAGCGAAGAAGGUUUUCGAAUCGUAAAGCUCUGUCCUAUGGGAAGAUAAUGACGGUACCAUAGGAGGAAGCCCCGGCUAACUACGUGCCAGCAGCCGCGGGAAUACGUAGGGGGCAAGCGUUGUCCGGAAUCACUGGGCGUAAAGGGUUCGCAGGCGGAAAUGCAAGUCAGUUGUGAAAGGCAGAGGCUCAACCUCUGUAAGCAAUUGAAACUGUAUUUCUUGAGAUGUGGAGAGGCAAGUGGAAUUCCUAGUGUAGCGGUGAAAUGCGUAGAUAUUAGGAAGAAUACCGGUGGCGAAGGCGACUUGCUGGACACAAACUGACGCUGAGGAACGAAAGCGUGGGUAGCAAACAGG